AUGAACACCUCCAUUCAUUUCCAUCUAUCAUGCCUGACAAAAGAGGCAUUGAUGAAUACCCUUUCUAUCUCUCUCUCUAUCUCUGUUUCUCACUUUCCCUGGCAGGAGCGGAGCAGAAGAUUAGGCAAUGAAAGCAAGCCAUGUUUGAGCUGUCUCUCUCUCCGCUGGAGGGAUGCUGCGACAUGGUUGUUGGGGUUCAUUGGCUGUCAUCAUUUCCCCUGCACGCCUCUCUCAGCAACACAAAGGCUGCAGAGGUGAAAUAAACAUGCAAGUACAAGGAGAGAGGAGAAACAAGACCAAGACACAGACAAAACUCAAACCUAGAGGUCUUCAGGAGCAGCAUGCUACCCACUGUGCCACAACUCUGACAUAUGUAAACAAUGCACAGCAUAAGUUUGAUUUAUAAAUGUCUGAUCAAUUCUAAAUAAUAAAAUAGUUUAUUUUUGGAGGUGCAAGAAAUGCUCAUCUUUUAAACAUUUUAUUGAUAUUAUGAUAUCAGAUUGGCAGCUCAUUAUCCAUUCUUCAAAACCAGACUCCCUUUUAUUUCACAACCUUCCCUGGCAGUCAUCCAUUCAAAGGGACUAGAAUGCAAUGCAGAAUUAGUCUGGCCUCUGGUCAUCAAACAACAGGUACAUGCUCACAACCGUUUAACAGGACAACCAAAUGUAGCUAAUUGUGGCAAAGAUGUGUGAUGCUUAAGUUUAUGCAUGAUACUAAAAAGAUUUUGCUCUUUAGAAAUAUAUUUUACAUUAUUGCCCUAUCCAUUCCAUACAGAACAAUUGCAGGUCAUACUCUGCAUGUAACUUCAAGUAUAUAAAUACUUACUUGAGAAAGCUUACAGUACAUGUGCAGUAGCAAAGACUUAAAGAUGUAUUAUUUUCAUCAAUGUGAUCCCAGACCAAGUCAGUUGUGGUUAGAGACAGACUUCAUGUUUGGACUUGUAUAAAUGUUUUAUUCCAGGGAAAGUCUUUCCUCAGCCUUUAGGGUACAUUGUCUCAUGUUGUAUUAUCAUUGUGUAUUCAGUCAAACUGCUAGAGAAAGUUGUGUUAUGACCCUCCCUGUCUGAUCAGCCAUGAGAUUUAGAGUGUUUUUUUAUUAUGUAGGUGGAAAGCUUUUAGAUCUUAUAUAACAAAUUAAACAAGGCACCCUGCUGAUUCAGAUAAUAUACAGUCCAACAUUCAUUAAAAUGGUCACAAAAAUUACAAACCGGACAUGAAAUGUUAUUUCUUACCUAAAAAAAGCUUUUUGUGUUCUUUUUAUAUCCUUUUUAUUUUAUAUUUUCAUAAGAAUCUUAUCUUCUGUUCAAGUCAAGUGUUUAUUUUUAUAGUGCUUUACAAGCAGAUGGUUUC
rnacentral:lncRNA from 1 species